rnacentral:lncRNA from 1 species
GCUGUCAGAUCUCCCCUGCCUCUCCGCUGGCAGCUGGGGCUCAGUUAUCUUCUCUUUCACAUCCACCUCUCUGCUUGUCUCUGAGCAACUUGACACAUCUCUGGUAGAAACUUUGUUCUCAGCAUUUACAACAUUGUGAUGAUGCUUGUCUCUGCAAAUUGCUCUUUCAUUAUCGUGGUCUGGGCUGUGACUAAAUGAACUUUCAGGCUCAGGUGAUAUCUCUAAAGCUUCAGCAACAGAACAAGCAUCCUCAAAUAAAUCCAUCUCCUUUGUUUGACCAUUACUCGUGGGAAAUGAAUAACAAUUCUCUGAGAACCCAUUAAUUUUAUGCGAAUUUACAUAGCCAAUAUUAUGUGCUAAUAAAUUUUGGGUUCUGCUAG